AACGAACGCUGGCGGCGCGCUUAACACAUGCAAGUCGAACGAGAAGGCGUAGCAAUACGCUUGUAAAGUGGCGAACGGGUGAGGAAUACAUGGGUAACCUACCCUCGAGUGGGGGAUAACCCGCCGAAAGGCGGGCUAAUACCGCGUACGCUUCCGAUCUUGCGGGAUCGGAAGGAAAGCUGUCCCUUGGGGAUGGCGCUCAAGGAUGGGCUCAUGUCCUAUCAGCUUGUUGGUAGGGUAACGGCCUACCAAGGCAUCGACGGGUAGCUGGUCUGAGAGGACGAUCAGCCACACUGGCACUGCGACACGGGCCAGACUCCUACGGGAGGCAGCAGUGAGGAAUAUUGCGCAAUGGGCGAAAGCCUGACGCAGCGA
rnacentral:rRNA from 1 species